rnacentral:piRNA from 1 species
UAGGUUUUGGAGAAGCCUAAGAAGCUGGUGA